rnacentral:rRNA from 1 species
GACGAACGCUGGCGGCGUGCUUAACACAUGCAAGUCGAACGGAAAGGCCCUGCUUUUGUGGGGUGCUCGAGUGGCGAACGGGUGAGUAACACGUGAGUAACCUGCCCUUGACUUUGGGAUAACUUCAGGAAACUGGGGCUAAUACCGGAUAGGAGCUCCUGCUGCAUGGUGGGGGUUGGAUAGUUUCGGCGGUUGGGGAUGGACUCGCGGCUUAUCAGCUUGUUGGUGGGGUAGUGGCUUACCAAGGCUUUGACGGGUAGCCGGCCUGAGAGGGUGACCGGCCACAUUGGGACUGAGAUACGGCCCAGACUCCUACGGGAGGCAGCAGUGGGGAAUAUUGCACAAUGGGCGGAAGCCUGAUGCAGCAACGCCGCGUGCGGGAUGACGGCCGUCGGGUUGUAAACCGCUUUCGCCUGUGACGAAGCGUGAGUGACGGUAAUGGGUAAAGAAGCACCGGCUAACUACGUG